rnacentral:rRNA from 1 species
UGGGGAAUAUUGCACAAUGCGGGAAACCCUGAUGCAGCGACGCCGCGUGAGCGAAGAAGGCUUUCGAUUCGUAAAUCUCUGUCCUAUGAGAAGAUAAUGACGGUAUCAUAGGAGGAAGCCCCGGCUAAAUACGUGCCAGCAGCCGCGGUAAUACGUAUGGGGCGAGCGUUGUCCGGAAUUAUUGGGCGUAAAGGGUACGUAGGCGGUCUAUUAAGUCAGGUGUGAAAGCGUGAGGCUUAACCUCAUUAAACACUUGAAACUGAUAGACUUGAGUGAAGGAGAGGAAAGGGGAAUUCCUAGUGUAGCGGUGAAAUGCGUAGAUAUUAGGAGGAAUACCGGUGGCGAAGGCGACUUUCUGGCCUUUUACUGACGCUCAGGUACGAAAGCGUGGGGAGCAAACAGG